GAUGAACGCUGGCGGCGUGCCUAACACAUGCAAGUCGAACGAAGCACCUUACCUGAUUCUUCGGAUGAAAGUUUGGUGACUGAGUGGCGGACGGGUGAGUAACGCGUGGGUAACCUGCCCUGUACAGGGGGAUAACAGCUGGAAACGGCUGCUAAUACCGCAUAAGCGCACGAGGAGACAUCUCCUUGUGUGAAAAACUCCGGUGGUACAGGAUGGGCCCGCGUCUGAUUAGCUGAUUGGCAGGGUAACGGCCUACCAAGGCAACGAUCAGUAGCCGGUCUGAGAGGAUGAACGGCCACAUUGGAGCUGAGACACGGUCCAAACUCCUACGGGAGGCAGCAGUGGGGAAUAUUGCACAAUGGGGGAAACCCUGAUGCAGCAACGCCGCGUGAGUGAAGAAGUAUUUCGGUAUGUAAAGCUCUAUCAGCAGGGAAGAUAAUGACGGUACCUGACUAAGAAGCUCCGGCUAAAUACGUG
rnacentral:rRNA from 1 species